rnacentral:lncRNA from 10 species
UUUAAAAGGAGACUUGUGAACAGCAAAGAGUAGAAAGGGUUCUCUUACAACUGAAGCCCAUGGAAGACAAAUGUGUACUGCUUGGCGGAUAAUUGCAGCUUUCUUUCAUUCCCUACAUGAGUUCAAAUGGCAGCAAACAAACUAGGAGAACGCAGACCUUCUGACUUGUGGGUACCCCUACUCAUCACCUGAAGACCCUUGGAAAUCAAAGCCCUGACCCAUUAAAGACGGAUGGAGACAGCAACAUACGAUCAUCACUAUUAUCUUGCUUUGCCCCAGUCCAGGUUAACCAUCUGUGGUAUUUUUAGUUGCUAAGUCCAUAUAUUCAACAUAAAUCAAUUAUAUAUCCACUAA